UACGUAGGGGGCAAGCGUUGUCCGGAUUUAUUGGGCGUAAAGAACGUGUAGGCGGCUUGGUAGGUCCGCUGUGAAAACUCGAGGCUCAACCUCGAGAUGUCGGCGGAAACCACUUGGCUAGAGUCCGGAAGAGGAGAGUGGAAUUCCUGGUGUAGCGGUGAAAUGCGCAGAUAUCAGGAAGAACACCAAUGGCGAAAGCAGCUCUCUGGGACGGUACUGACGCUGAGACGCGAAAGCGUGGGGAGCGAACAGG
rnacentral:rRNA from 1 species